rnacentral:rRNA from 1 species
UACGGAGGGUGCAAACGUUGCUCGGAAUCAUUGGGCGUAAAGCGCACGUAGGCGGCUCGUUAAGUCGGAUGUGAAAGCCCUGGGCUCAACCCAGGAAGUGCAUUCGAAACUGGCGAGCUUGAAUAUGGAAGAGGGUCGCGGAAUUCCCGGUGUAGAGGUGAAAUUCGUAGAUAUCGGGAGGAACACCGGUGGCGAAGGCGGUUCUCUGGGCCUUACCUGACGCUGAGGAG